rnacentral:rRNA from 1 species
AUUGAACGCUGGCGGCAGGCUUAACACAUGCAAGUCGAGCGGGGGAGGUUGCUUCGGUAACUGACCUAGCGGCGGGCGGGUGAGUAAUGCUUAGGAAUCUGCCUAUUAGUGGGGGACAACAUUCCGAAAGGGGUGCUAAUACCGCAUACGCCCUACGGGGGAAAGCAGGGGAUCUUCGGACCUUGCGCUAAUAGAUGAGCCUAAGUCGGAUUAGCUAGUUGGUGGGGUAAAGGCCUACCAAGGCGACGAUCUGUAGCGGGUCUGAGAGGAUGAUCCGCCACACUGGGACUGAGACACGGCCCAGACUCCUACGGGAGGCAGCAGUGGGGAAUAUUGGACAAUGGGCGGAAGCCUGAUCCAGCCAUGCCGCGUGUGUGAAGAAGGCCUUUUGGUUGUAAAGCACUUUAAGCGAGGAGGAGGCUACUAGUACUAAUACUACUGGAUAGUGGACGUUACUCGCAGAAUAAGCACCGGCUAACUCUGUGCCAGCCGCCGCCGUAAAAC